rnacentral:lncRNA from 1 species
AUUACAGAGGAUAGUUCACUUUGAGGAUUGUUCAGAGUGGUUGACAGAUUGUAGAAGAGGGGAUAUCUUGCUGCAUUUCUUGCUGUUGGUAUUGCCUAUAUUUUGGUUAAGGGUUAGAGAGGAGAUUUAUAUUUUGACGUGGAGGUCUUCUAUAAAUUCCUUGUUGGCCGAACUAGUAUAAAAACCAGUGUUUGCUUUUCUCUUUCCCUACACUUUUACUUUACAGUCAACUUUACAUUUAACGCAAUCAACUACAUUUUCCGCUGCAUACGAAUUUUCAUUACUUGCAUUUCAAGAUUGUGAAAAGAUUUUGUUUUUGAUAAAACACCAAUUCACCCCUCA